rnacentral:rRNA from 1 species
CUACGGGUGGCAGCAGUGGGGAAUAUUGGACAAUGGGCGAAAGCCUGAUCCAGCCAUGCCGCGUGUGUGAAGAAGGCCUUCGGGUUGUAAAGCACUUUCAGUGGGGAAGAAAGCCUUGGGGCUAAUACCCUCGAGGAAGGACAUCACCCACAGAAGAAGCACCGGCUAACUCCGUGCCAGCAGCCGCGGUAAUACGGAGGGUGCGAGCGUUAAUCGGAAUUACUGGGCGUAAAGCGCGCGUAGGCGGUCUGAUAAGCCGGUUGUGAAAGCCCCGGGCUCAACCUGGGAACGGCAUCCGGAACUGUCAGGCUAGAGUGCAGGAGAGGAAGGUAGAAUUCCCGGUGUAGCGGUGAAAUGCGUAGAGAUCGGGAGGAAUACCAGUGGCGAAGGCGGCCUUCUGGACUGACACUGACGCUGAGGUGCGAAAGCGUGGGUAGCAAACAGGAUUAGAUACCCGUGUAGUC